AUCACAUACUAACUUAGUUUUCUCCCAGACUCGGAAUAUGAAUUUUGGUGAUCAUGCCCGACUAUUGUUCUUGCUGGUUAUUUCAUUACUGAUGCUUUUGCAAGCUGUAAAUAUGGUUGCAUGUCAAGGAGGAGUUUAUCCAAGAGGAGAAUUCGCAGGGGGCUACGUGGAACAGUUGGAGGAUGAAAUCCCCGAAGAAUAAUGAGGUGUUUCACAUAAGGUUCAGAAUAUACAUGAAAAUAUGGUGUGUAUAACAUUAUUUGAAAUGUAUCUGAUGAGCGAUAAAUAAAAGCUGAGUAAAA